CCUAUUGCACUAGACGGGAGAGUAGUGCGUAGUGUAAGUACAUAGUGUAAGUGUACAGUACUUCAUUUAGGACACUACUUUAAUAUUUACUCUCCGAAGCGUGUUUUCAGUACAGAAGUAAUGUAAUGAGUAAACGCACCGUGCAGAGCAACUAAUCGAAAAUGAGAUUCGUUUCCAACGAUUUUCAUAAUCGAUUAUUAUCGAUUAGUUGUUGCAGCUCUAAAUAUAAUAUAACAUUUGCAAUCACUGUGAUGGAGAAAAUAUGGAAUGCAAAGUGCAAUCUUUUUUAUUGAUCUAUUUAUUUAUAUCCCUAUUCCAUUCAUUUCUACUGUUUAGUCAUCUGGUGGGCGUGGCUGAGUGCGCAGGUGCGUCAUUCAAACCGAGCGAGAUGACUGUUGAGAAUCAGACAGCGCGAGACAGCUCCUUUCAGGUAAAUUGAGAUGUGUCGUUAUCUCUAGCAUCCCUGCUGGUGCCUCUACAAAUUACACCUGCAACAUGAGGGGUCGUCAUGUGAACAUCAUCAUUCCCAAUGUUAUCCAGGCUCUCACGCUCUGUGAAGUGGAAGUCUAUGGGGUUCCAGUGCCUGUUACUAAGAGGGCAUUUCUGAGAUUGAAGUUUAACAGCAGUGAGGAUCUUAUGAACCCUUCUGUGAGGGACAAAAUUCUUCAAAAGAUGAUAUCUGCCAAUGUCCAGCCUUCAGUGCGUCAGAUCUGUUGGACUAAGGAACCAGAGGUGGAAAAUUAAACUUAAAAAACGGUGGCAGAAAUAUAUCUGAAACAAGAAGAAGAAGAAGCGGAAGAAGAAGAAGUGUUCAAAGAACAAAAAGAAAAAAAACAUCAAAUGUGUGAGGUUUGGGUGUAGCACUUGAAAAUACUAGCUAACUGAUGUUAUAGGUUUAUUAAUUAGAAGUACUAGAAAUUUUUCAGUUUGCUUGUUUGGGAAAUGUAGCUAUGAAAAAUUAUUACCACAGGGUUUGUACAAGGUGCUUGAAUUUGGCAUUUGGAAAUUUAAGUACUGGAAAACCUUGAAAAUAGCCAUUUUUUAUGUAACAGUGGUUAAAAAGUGCUUGAAUGAUAAAAAGUCAAUAAAUAAAAAAUAACAAUUUUCAAAAGAACACGAAUACAAUCCUUUCACUCAAAAUAUGACUCCCCGCUGCAGCCCCUCCUCCUCCUGCCGUUCACUCAUUCAUUUUAACAGGGACAGCUUCGGUCCACUUCUCAGACCCCUUUAGCAACUUUUUUUUUAAUUUUUUUUAAAGCAUCUAGCAAUAUAUCUAUCGAUUUUUUGGACAAACCUUAGCUACUUUCCGUAGAAGAUAAUGGCCAGUACUGCCCGGCGAGUGCGAGGUCCUGCUUUCAGAAACAGAAAAAAUAUGUAAAUGAGAACAGCUUUAUUGGGAAUUCGGCUGUAUUAAAAUUCAGCAUGUGAGCACAGAGAGUAGGAUGUAAUAAAGGGCUGACACUAGGCAGAGUGAAAA